rnacentral:miRNA from 2 species
CUUUAUAUCCGCAUUUGCGCA